AUCAUUGCGAGGAACGGGAGAGUACGCAAUAGGGUUUAGCCAAAGAGAGGGCGCCGGUGGUGAGAGGGCCUGUAGACCGAUUGCCGAAUGUCACCCGCGAGCAGUUUCCGUGAAACAGGUUGGAGUAGCGGAAACCGGUUUGAAGCCGUUAUCCAAGAGUGAGGUGUACUUUUUCAGUACACGAACUAAAGGUGGUACCGCGAAUUGACUCCUUCGUCCUUUUU
rnacentral:ncRNA from 1 species